GAGAGAUUUGCUGCACAUACUUCAUAUGGGAUUGGGGUGGCACACACCUUCCUCUCCUGCAUUGUUGCAAUGGGCCACUUUGCCUGCUUUUUGGGAAAGGGCAGUGGGGGGUCUUCUCCCCUUCAUCAUGUGAAUAAUUAAAUCUAUUUCAGUAUUUACAAAAGAUUGCUAAACACUUCAAUUUCAAGAAAGCCAGGGUAGCCAGCUUGCUUGAGGUGAUGCCAUGAGUGGGGCACAGCCGUGUGGGUGGGAGAGAAGAGCCUGACUCAGGUGUGAACCAGGGACUUGUUCAGCCUCCUCGAGGGGAGUUAAUCAGGCUCUUAAACGUGCUCAGGUGGACCCUGAGAUGCUCAAAGCUCAGGUACAGCUACCUAAGAUCCUUCAUUUGCAGAGGCAUCUUGUUUCUGAAGCUGCCCUUUAGCCAGUUGCUGUAUUCUGCUUGUAUUUGUCAGCCCACCUGGAGCAGAGCAGCUGUGCAGCGUGGAUUCAGGACCUGCUACCUUCUAGAAACGUUCCUUCAGCCUAAACAUGCUCAUCGCUCUUCUGUGGAUUUAGACAUUCCCCAGCGGGCAGCUUCUUUUUCUUUAGUUCCUGUGUCUCAAGAGAUGAAGUCAAUCUGUUUCAGCAGAGGUGCCCAGGCUCUGAGCUGUCAGCAAGGCAGAGGUCUCCAACUGACCUGUAUGAGCAGGGGGAAAAAGAGGCAGCUUCAGACUGGGCAUGGGAAGGGAGACCCGCCACUGCUGCAAGGGGCCAUGCUGUCAGCUGUGCCUGAAAUGUGGGGCAGCUCCAGACAUCACCAUCCCCUCACCGGUAAACCCAUUUCUGCCAGGUUUGGUGCCUCUGCAGCACAGGACCUAGCCAGCACUGGGAUGCUGCUCCUGAACUGGAAACUUGUUGCCCGCCCAAACUCACAGGCAGGUACCAGUGCUGCUCGUAGGAGCCUGCAGGCUGCCGUGCCACCAGCUGGGCAGCUCAAGGUACCUGUAAAGCCAAGGUACACCCUUGCCUUUCUAGCUUUUUUUCCUUGCAUAAAUACAUCAUGUAUAAGUUAGGCUUUGUUAGUUGUUUUUUUUUUUUUUUCCAGACACGUACUUGAGCAAGAAGGCACAUUUAUUUUGUUAACCAGUUAUCAUGCAGGAAGACAUACAGUGCUUCCAUGAUCCUUAUGCGUAUUUUUUUUUUCUAUAUCUACUUCUAGUAUCUUUUCCCAUAUCAUUGAGAUGACUUCUUGAGAUUAAAUGAGCUGAAGUCAUUUAGGAAAGCUUAUCAUUAUUAUUGAGAUAAG